UCAAUUCCUACUCCUGAAGUGAAUAAAUUAGCAGGUUAAGAAUUCGUUCGCCAAGAUAGGUGAAAGGAAAGAGAGGAUGGAGGUGUGUCAAUGUGAAACGAACAAAAGAUGGCAAAUAUUAUAAAACGGCUAUAGCGUGAUAUCGUUUGUUAAAAUAUUAGAUUUAUUUCAAUUCACUAUUUUCUAGCUCAAUAAGUGCAAUUUAUCAUUACUAAAGGCAUGGGUAAUAUAUUACAACAAACGUUGGUAAAAGGAAGAUGAGGAAUUUAGUCAUGUGGUACUCUUUUGUUUAUUUUAAAAAGCGUUUUAUUUGGUUUAAAUUGCAGUUACAGUUUCAAUUCUACAGCAAGUUUAUGAUAAAACUUUUCGAGUAAAUGUGAUGUGAAAUUCAAGGAUUUUUUUCUAAUCAAAUGAGGAGGGGAAGAUAUCUACUUUAAUUUAAUAAAUCAAUUGAUUCCAUUGCUAUCGAUACAUGGAUAAUUAAUUUGUGGGAUUGAGAAGAAAUUAUGCGAACAAAUUAUCUAGGCUUAAUAUUCAUGAGUUUCGAGUUUUAAAUAUGAAGUCAAAAUUUGCGCAAUUCGAGGUCAUCAAUGUCAUUUUUUUGUGACGAUUAGCCGUCAAAUAUGUUUAACAUUGCACCGGCUUCAAAUCUUUGCGUUUGAUGCAUUCACUAUUCUAUAUUUUCACUUCUCUCGAUAUAGGGAAGAGAAAUUUAAGGAUUUUGCGUGUGCUAAGUAAGCAUGUAAAUGGGUUUCUAUUCGAAAAUGUACGCUUUUUUCAAAUUUUUCUACUUUUUCACACCAUUAAUAGCGGAUUACUCUACUUGAUGGGUCAAACUGAAUAUCCUUUAUACUAUUUUCUAAUUUGAAAUUAAUUGCCUAUUACGAACAAAAGCGACGAGUUCUCAAUAUCAUAAAACCUGCCAUAAACUUAUGUCCAUUUACUUGGUUCUUCUGCACAAAAGAAACUUUCAUAUUCCUUUUUGUCAGUUCUCUUAGGUUUAAAAAAAAUGGCAAAGCUACAAUCUAAAUCUUCGAGCGGCAAAAUCAUUUAUUGAACUUUGAGACGAUCUCAACCUAGCUGUUCUUUUUAUUUCAUCAUUUUUGGAAGGUAAAAAAUAAUUUGAAUCUGUUUUUCUAAGAAAUGCGUAUUAAGUAUUAGUCGUGUUGAUUUAGUUAUUUAUAUAAACAAAGCAAGAUUUCUCUUGCGUUUUUGAAUUUGAGCCAAUAUGUUAAAUUUCCUUAUUGUCGCCUAUUUUUAUUAAAUACAUUUUUAAAGUUAAAUUAAAU